AGCGGGGGACAACGUUUCGAAAGGAACGCUAAUACCGCAUACGUUUCCAGGGACCCUGGUACCUGGAAGGAAAGCUAGGUCGGGCAACCGAUCCGGCAGCUCGAGGAGGAGCCUGCGUCGCAUCAGCUAGUUGGUGGGGUAAUGGCCUACCAAGGCGAAGACGCGUAGCUGGUCUGAGAGGAUGAUCAGCCACACUGGGACUGAGACACGGCCCAGACUCCUACGGGAGGCAGCAGUGGGGAAUAUUGGACAAUGGGCGAAAGCCUGAUCCAGCCACGCCGCGUGAGUGAUGAAGGCCUUCGGGUCGUAAAGCUCUGUGGGAGGGACGAACCGCUGCUGGUGAACAGCCAGCAGCAUGACGGUACCUCCUUAGCAAGCACCGGCUAACUUCGUGCCAGCAGCCGCGGUAA
rnacentral:rRNA from 1 species